GAUGAACGCUGGCGGCGUGCCUAAUACAUGCAAGUCGAGCGAACGGACGAGAAGCUUGCUUCUCUGAUGUUAGCGGCGGACGGGUGAGUAACACGUGGAUAACCUACCUAUAAGACUGGGAUAACUUCGGGAAACCGGAGCUAAUACCGGAUAAUAAUUUGAACCGCAUGGUUCAAGAGUGAAAGACGGUCUUGCUGUCACUUAAAGAUGGACCCGCGCUGCAUUAGUUGGUUGGUAAGGUAACGGCUUACCAAGCCAACGAUGCAUAGCCGCCCUGAGAGGGUGAUCGGCCACACUGGAACUGAGACACGGUCCAGACUCCUACGGGAGGCAGCAGUAGGGAAUCUUCCGCAAUGGGCGAAAGCCUGACGGAGCAACGCCGCGUGAGUGAUGAAGGUCUUCGGAUCGUAAACCUCUGUUAUUAGGGAAGAACAUAUGUGUAAGUAACUGUGCACAACUUGACGGUACCUAAUCAGAAAGCCACGGCUAACUACGUG
rnacentral:rRNA from 1 species